rnacentral:snoRNA from 1 species
AUUUGAUGAUGAGGGCAAUGAAUGCAUAAUAACUCAAAUCUAUCCCAAUACUCAGCGAGUGUUUCUCCAUGAGAUUGUCGAAUCCCACAUAUUUCUUUUCUUAUGUU